rnacentral:rRNA from 1 species
UACAGAGGUGGCAAGCGUUGUUCGGAAUUACUGGGCGUAAAGGGCGCGUAGGCGGCCUUCUAAGUCGGACGUGAAAGCCCCAGGCUUAACCUGGGAACUGCGUCCGAUACUGGGAGGCUUGGAUUCGGGAGAGGGAUGUGGAAUUCCAGGUGUAGCGGUGAAAUGCGUAGAUAUCUGGAGGAACACCGGUGGCGAAGGCGGCAUCCUGGACCGAGAUCGACGCUGAGGCGCGAAAGCUAGGGGAGCAAACGGGAUUAGAUACCCCGGUAGUCCUAGCCCUAAACGAUGAGUGCUUGGUGUGGCGGGUAUCGAUCCCUGCCGUGCCGAAGCUAACGCAUUAAGCACUCCGCCUGGGGAGUACGGUCGCAAGGCUG